CUCUUCUAGAGCUGAUUACCAACUCCUACCACUGUUAACCCUCAUCCAGGAAAAAGCUUAUGUCUUUAACAUUCUGAGUGGGCUUCAGCAUCCUUGCAUAUGUUCAAUUCUUAAAAACCUGUUGAAAUAAAAGAUCAGGAGACAUAGGAAGGAUGCCAGAAGAGAGCGUGGCCUCAUGUGUACCAGCUCUCUGCUCUCCUUUGCCUUGGGACGUUCCAUCCCUGGAAGUUUCCCUGCCCACAUCUUUGUAGAGAGUCCAUUCUCCAAGCUUCAGUGUGUCAUCUGUGAGGACUGUGACCAACCUGGUACAUCGCCUCAGGGCAUUCAUUUCAGGCUCCUUCUAAAUGGUCAAGUCAUCUAUGAACUGACUCUGUCUCAAAAAAAAAAAAGAAAAAAAAGAAAAGAAAGAACGAAAAAAAAAAACUAGGACAUGGCUAACAGGAAUGGGGACAAAGAAUCUGCACUGAUGAGGAAACUGAAACAGAAAAUCCAGAGUAAAUUCCACCAGGCCACACAGCAAGGUCUGAUAGAGCCAGGAGAGACUUUAUGAAAUCCAGACUCUCACACUAAUGCUCUAUCAGCUAGACCUCCAUGUGAGUCUCCCCAAUGUAGGUAGGAAGUGCUUUCCC
rnacentral:lncRNA from 1 species